AGGACCUUUGAUAUUAUUUUAUUUAUACUUCUCCCUGAAUUCAGGAUCUAUUUAUCCACAUGUAAGCAACAAUUCGGCAGAAACCAGUGUUAAACCUCCCACAUAAGUUUUUCUUAUUUUAAAGUAAAAUAAAUUAACAAUAAGUGAAAAACAUUUUACUGAGUUUGCAUGUAAACAGACCCAGAAAGUUAAAAGAUUGAGAGUUAACAAAGGAUUUUAGUUCUAUUAUAAUUUCAACUUUCACCUACAUCAUAAAGAACAUAAGGAAAAACUAUAUUUCUAUUUUAGAAGGUAAGAACCUUCUAAAGCAAGAUCAGAUGCUUGGACUUUUAAGAUAGUCAAAAUUUUUAUAAAAGUGGACUUUUUUUUUUUUACAACAUUAGCACUCCAUUAAACAGCAGGAAGGUACUUAUUCAUGUUUCUACAAGCUUUUUUUUCUUCAGAAAGAAAAUUUCCAUUUAUUUGAAGAUCAUUCAUUGCUGGUAUCACUCUUACAAAAUGUAGUUUCCCAAUGUCAGGAAUAGGAUAACAAAAUAACACAUGUCCUUCUGUGCAAAAGUAAAUAGAGUUGAUUACAGAAGCCAAUGGAAUACCUCAUUGGAUACUGGAUUAUUUGUAUCCCUCCUAAAAUAUGAGUUUUGAGUAGUUCCAUGUCUAUUCUGAAUCUUUUAGUUAUUGAUUUAGUAAGGGAUGGUAUUUGGUCAGGUGGUAAUGAAUAAAUGAAUAAUAUCACCCAGCAAUAUGGCAGUUUUAAUAUGGUCAAAAGCCAGAUACACUUGUGGUCCUUCCAACUCAAACAGCAUUUCUAAUGUUAUUAGGUUGGUUUUUGGCAUUCUCUUUAAGAAUAAGAAAGCACUAUAUUUUUAUACAUGAAAUAGGACUUGUUAAGGUGGAUAUAGGAAAAUUUAGCAUGUUAAUUACUAAGAGUCUGUUUUUCUUGCAAACUGAGGAGAAUAUUUUUUGCCAUUGUUUUCAUGCAAUGCUUUGGGGAUAUUUGAAGAUGCAGGGAAAUGUCAUGGUGAAAGUAACAGUAGUUUUGGGUUUUUGUUUUUUUUUAAGCUUGGAUUAGUUAGACUCAUUACAACUAUUCUGGAUCCAUUUUUGGCUAAAUGAAGAGGAAAGUUUUACCAGCUGAUGGCCAUUUGAUGACCUGCAUGGAAAGAAUUGGUAGACUCAGAAAAGCACAAUUGAGAGAAGUGAUCACAUCGCAAAAUAUGACAUCAUUCUUUGGCACCAGCUGGCACCCUGGGCAUGGAGAGUGAGUUAUACUCUCAACCCUGAAUUUUCCCCUUUAGAUUACCUUUGUGGCUCACCAGAGGGCAGUGUGCAGUAAUCAGCUCUACUGCUUCAUACAUUGGAUGCCUCCUAUGGAAAAGCCAAGGUCAAAAUCAUCAGAACCAGACAACAGGCAAAAUAAUAGAUUAUGGAAGUUGUUUUGUUAGAUUUGUUGUACUUGUAUCCUCUGUGUGGAACUCUUAAUAUUGAGAAAUUAAUCACCAUGUGAAAUAUAAGAAAAAAUACGAUGGAACAUUUAAUAGAAUCAAUAAGAAUCUCGGUGAAGAAAAAGAACAAAUACAACUUCAUUUAAUACUUUUAAACAUCUUUUAUGUAUUAACUGGAAAGGCAUGUAAUGGAGUCCCAUUUGCUCAAACACAUUGUAAUAUUUUUCCUCAACUUGGUUGACAGUUACAAAACUCAGAGACCAAGCUGUGAAAGAAACUUUUUCAGUUGAAGCAUCUGCUUUUAUGACAAACUUUUCAGUCAAUCAUAUGGGAAGGUUUGGGGAGUUGCCUUGAGUUUAUCUGUUAAUUUUUCUACUCAGAUUAAAUAAAUGACAUCAUAAGUGGUA